CGGGGAAACUCGUAUUAAUACCGCAUACGACCUACGGGAGAAAGGGGGCAGUUUACUGCUCUCGCUAUUAGAUGAGCCUAAGUCGGAUUAGCUAGAUGGUGGGGUAAAGGCCUACCAUGGCGACGAUCUGUAGCUGGUCUGAGAGGAUGAUCAGCCACACCGGGACUGAGACACGGCCCGGACUCCUACGGGAGGCAGCAGUGGGGAAUAUUGGACAAUGGGGGAAACCCUGAUCCAGCCAUGCCGCGUGUGUGAAGAAGGCCUUUUGGUUGUAAAGCACUUUAAGCAGUGAAGAAGACUCUUCGGUUAAUACCCGGAGACGAUGACAUUAGCUGCAGAAUAAGCACCGGCUAACUCUGUGCCAGCAGCCGCGGUAAUACAGAGGGUGCAAGCGUUAAUCGGAAUUACUGGGCGUAAAGGGAGCGUAGGUGGCUCGAUAAGUCAGAUGUGAAAUCCCCGGGCUCAACCUGGGAACUGCAUCUGAUACUGUUGAGCUAGAGUAUGUGAGAGGAAGGUAGAAUUCCAGGUGUAGCGGUGAAAUGCGUAGAGAUCUGGAGGAAUACCGAUGGCGAAGGCAGCCUUCUGGCAUAAUACUGACACUGAGGCUCGAAAGCGUGGGUAGCAAACAGGAUUAGAUACCCUGGUAGUCCACGCCGUAAACGAUGUCUACUAGUCGUUGGGUCCCUUGAGGACUUAGUGACGCAGCUAACGCAAUAAGU
rnacentral:rRNA from 1 species